UACGUAGGUGGCGAGCGUUGUCCGGAUUUACUGGGCGUAAAGGGCGUGCAGGCGGUUUGUUAAGUGCAGGGUGAAAGCUCCCGGCUCAACUGGGAGAGGUCCUUGCAUACUGGCGAACUCGAGGGAGGCAGAGGAAAGUGGAAUUCCCGGUGUAGUGGUGAUAUGCGUAGAUAUCGGGAGGAACACCUGUGGCGAAGGCGGCUUCCUGGACCAGUACCGACGUUCAGGCACGAAAGCGUGGGGAGCAAACAGG
rnacentral:rRNA from 1 species